UCCUCUCCUCAUCUUAAUUUGUAGCUUUCACACUCUUCUUUUAUUAUUAUUUUAUUAGAACAAAACCCAUCUUUAUUUUUUUUAUGAAUUAAUCAUCUGAUCUAACACCCAUUUAGCAUUUUUAGUAUGUUUGAUAUGUAAUGAUUGUUAUUGUGUUGUUGCUUGCACUGCCGUUAAAAGAGAGGAUUAUCAUGUUUACUGAAGGCCUUGAUUAGUCUGCUCUUUGUGGGGUUAAAGAGGUAUGUAUGUUAUGUCUACUUGACCUAUUACUUAUGUUUGUAUGUAUAUGUGUGUGUAACUGUGCAAGUAUAUGCUGGGAUUUGUGUAUGUAUGUUGUGGUCUUGUGGAUGAUGGGUUUGUGAAAUUUGGUCUAAUUUUAUGUUUUUUGGAUUUUUUUGAUGGGUUUUUGUGAAAAUUUUGAUAUUUGAAUUAGAAAUAGAUUUUGGAAUUUGGUGGAAUUUUAUGAUGUGGAUGUAUAAUUGUGUGAUGAUGUAUGUGAAUUUGUCAAGUAGUGUGUUUUUCCCCCCUUGAAUUUGAAUGUAGGUUCUGUGAAUAAUUCAAUUAUAAGAAAGGAGUGUCAUUGUCUAGUCAAAGAACUAGAGUAGAUCAUGUUUCUACUGUCAGGACUGGUAGUACAGGUAUUCCGAGAACUAUUCCGCGUCAAUAUGAUGAUAGUAGGUCAGGAUCGGAAAAUGAUAUGAGUACGGAUUUGGAGGGAGGUUUUCCUUAGAUUUGUCACCGCAGGAUGAUAGAGUGACUGCCAAGGCAGCAGCUAGAAGGUUUUCUAAUCCUGUGGAGAGAAGGGUUCAGUAUGGUAGUGAGAUGUUGGUUCGUCGAGAGAAACGGUUGGAAGAGGGCUUGGAGCGGUAAUAGACAGACUGAUGAAGGGUGCAAAUAGGUACCCGAUUGGAUGCAAUGGCCUAUAAGGAGGAGGAAUCAUCGGAUUCUGCUGCCAGAUCGGAGUACUCGUUCACUCAAGUGCGAAGGAGUGAUAUAGGGUUGCCUGGUAACAAGGCAUAUCUUUCCGAGGGAUAUGCUUCUAGCACGCCUUCAUGGAUAACAAGCAAUCUGCUUCCAACUAGAAUCAGAAGCUUUCUGAUGAUGAUAAUCCAAGCGCAUCUCCAUUUUCUGAUGCUGGCGGGAGAUCUAGCAAGAAGAACAAAACCCGGCCUCUACUGGAAUGCCUUUUGCAGCAGCAAAUGGUUUUGAUAGAAAACUUACAACUGCUAGUGAUCAGAAUAACAUCCGAAAGGAGAUACCUAAAACAUCUCUGAGGGCUGCAGCAAGCGCAGAAAAUGGGGUGCCUUCAAGCUCAUUCCAUGCUCGCCUUCCCACAUUUCAUGCAAGUACUUGAUGGCACAAUGCA